rnacentral:tRNA from 1 species
GCCGAGUGGUUAAGGCGAUGGACUUGAAAUCCAUUGGGGAAACCCGCGUGAGUUCAAAUCUCAC